AGCGAACAUUGGCGGUAGGCUUAACACAUGCAAGUCGAGCGAGGCGUAAUAGUCGAGCGGCGAACGGGUGCGUAAUACAUGGGAAUCUACCCUGAAGUGGGGGAUAACGUUCAGAAAUGGACGCUAAUACCGCAUAAUCCACAUUGGGAAAGCGUUGCAGCGCUUUAGGAUGAGCCCAUGGCUGAUUAGCUAGUUGGUGAGGUAAUGGCUCACCAAGGCGACGAUCAGUAGCUGGUCUGAGAGGAUGACCAGCCACACUGAAACUGAGACACGGUCCAGACUCCUACGGGAGGCAGCAGUGGGGAAUCUUGCGCAAUGGGGGCAACCCUGACGCAGCCAUACCGCGUGAGUGAUGAAGGUCUUCGGAUUGUAAAGCUCUUUCGGCGGGGACGACGAUGACGGUACCCGCAAAAGAAGUCACGGCUAACUUCGUGCCAGCAGCCGCAGUAA
rnacentral:rRNA from 1 species